GAACUGCGAUAAGUAAUGUGAAUUGCAGAAUUCAGUGAAUCAUCGAGUCUUUGAACGCACAUUGCGCCCCCUGGCAUUCCGGGGGGCAUGCCUGUCCGAGCGUCAUUGCUGCCCCUCAAGCCCGGCUUGUGUGUUGGGUCGUCGUCCCCUCCGGGGGACGGGCCCGAAAGGCAGCGGCGGCACCGCGUCCGGUCCUCGAGCGUAUGGGGCUUUGUCACCCGCUCGAUAAGGACCGGCCGGGCGCCAGCCGGCGUCUCCAACCUUUUUUUCUCAGGUUGACCUCGGAUCAGGUAGGGAUACCCGCUGAACUUAAGC
rnacentral:misc_RNA from 1 species